UCCUACGGGAGGCAGCAGUGAGGAAUAUUGGUCAAUGGGCGAGAGCCUGAACCAGCCAAGUAGCGUGCAGGAUGACGGCCCUAUGGGUUGUAAAACUGCUUUUAUAAGGGAAUAAAGUGAGUCUCGUGAGGCUUUUUGCAUGUACCUUAUGAAUAAGGACCGGCUAAUUCCGUGC
rnacentral:rRNA from 1 species